CAGGAACCAUUUUCCUCUGCACAACCCAAGAAAUUUAAUGGUGCCCAUCUCAAAAUUUUCUUUAAAAAAUCUCCAAUGGUAUUCAUCUCAACAAAAGUGCAAGCUCAAAAGAGUGCCCCUUGAACCGAAACUCACUCUAGUUUCAAUAAGAAUGAAAGACAAAGGGAAUUUUUGGCUAUUGAGAGCUUGUUCAAGCGCCAACAUCUCUCACCACCACCCAAAAAGUCAGGCUGCC
rnacentral:lncRNA from 1 species